rnacentral:lncRNA from 1 species
GCUCCACCCAGUUGGAGCUUCCUGGCUGCUUUGUUUACCUAAUCAAGCCUGGGCAAUGGCGGGCGCCCCUCCCCCAGCCUCGCUGCCGCCUUGCAGUUUGAUCUCAGACUGCUGUGCUAGCAAUCAGCGAGACUCUGUGGGCGUAGGACCCUCCGAGCCAGGUGCAGGUUAUAAUCUCGUGGUGAGCCGUUUUUUAAGCCCGUCGGAAAAGUGCAGUAUUCGGGUGGGAGUGACCCGAUUUUCCAGGUGCUGUCCAUCACCCCUUUCUUUGACUUGGAAAGGGAACUCCCUGACCCCUUGCGCUUCCCGAGUGAGGCAAUGCCUUGCCCUGCUUCGGCUCGUGCACGGUGCGUGCACCCACUGACCUGCGCCCAGUGUCUGGCACUCCCUAGUGAGAUGAACCCGGUACCUCAGAUGGAAAUGCAGAAAUCACCCGUCUUCUGCGUCGCUCACGCUGGGAACUGUAGACCGGAGCUGUUCCUAUUCGGCCAUCUUGGCUCCUCAACUCAUCCACUUUAAUACUAAGAUUGGGGAUGGCAGUGGAAAAUGCCACCUGAUUCUAUUAUGAUGGUGGAAUUGCAAAGAAACAGAGGUAGAGUUAAUGAUGCACCAUUUACAGCUCCUCUUCAUUGAAGGGCUUGUUUUCCACUUUGGUUGGAAUGCACUAACUUGGAGUUGCAACAGCCUUCAGCUCUUCACCACUUAGGAACUGCCCCAGCUGCUCGUCAUUCAAGCUAAUAGGAAUUGCCCCAACUGUUCCUCAUUCAAGCUCAUAGGAAUUGCCCCAACUGUUCCUCAUUCAAGCUAACCCUUCCCUGGUCAAUCUUGUGACUGAUGGAGGAAUAUGGAAGCCAAACCACUUGACAGGCCAGAAGAUGUUGUGCAUUUCAAACAGACAAAUGAAGCUGUAGAAGAUUGUUUCUUGAAGGACUCAACCAAAUAAGAAAUAUCUAAAGUUGCAUGCCUCGUUGUAAAGGAAGUAUAUUAAACAUACACUCUGACAAAAUUAACACAGCAAGAUUGCACUUACACUGUAUAAUCACUACACAAAAAGCCAAUAAUCACUUUGUUCAAAAGAGAUAAUGCCACAUAAUAUAAGUAGUAGUUUAAGCAAUUAUCCAGUAGAACAGUUAAUCAUCACCCUCAGUUCACAGCCUUUUGUUUCUCACCAAUACACAUGUCAGAUUGUAAUUAAAUGCACUCACACUGUUCAGGGCAGAAUGAGAGUCCUGGGUUGAAAUGUGGGAACCAAACUGAAAAGCACAAUAAAGACAUGUUUAGACAGCUUUUUAACUGUAUCUGCCUGGCAUGGGGUCUUGGUUGACAAAUUGGCUAUAUAAGGGUGAAACCACACUGGGGCACCUUAUUUAUAGAAAAAAAUAAUUUAUGCCUAUAGAAAAGUUAUGUUAUUCUGUUUAUAAAUUUUCCAAGCGUUGACUUUCUGAGUGAAUUAUUUGCCAG